rnacentral:lncRNA from 1 species
ACCAACCCCACUCCCCCAGACGUACCCAUUUGGCAUGUUGAACCACUCACCUACAGUACGGUAUGUCAUGGCAGCUCUCAUGUAUUAGAGGCAUCAGUCAAAGCUGAUGGGUCCAUGGAGCAGGACUCUCUCUGUGUGGUCUGAAAUCCUGGCAGCUGACAGCAAGUUGGUGCCAUGGCCGAGUGGAGGGACUAUUUUCAGUCUUCUGACCUCAUUUGGUCCUUGUUCUACCAAACGCAUAAUCUCCAGUGUAACAUGCAGUAUAUGAGACAUGCAGUAUAUGAGACAUGCAGUAUAUGAGACAUGCAGUAUAUGAGACAUGCAGUAUACGAGACAUGUAGUAUAUGAGACAUGUAGUAUAUGAAACAUGCAGUAUGAGACAUGCAGAUUGAGUAGUCGAGUCAAAUGCAGAGACGUUCAGGUGAAUGUGUGUGCAUGCACUCACACACACGCACAGACACGUCAUGUCCGAUUACCAGUUCAUGCAUUCUAAAUAGUAGCCAUUUUCUAAGUGAAAUUUUGAAAAAUAAGUAUGCUUUAAAUGCCAGGAUGUUACUCAUUUUCAGAGGUACUCACUCGCGCAUGCACACACAUAAACACACACACAGACCCACACACACACUGUACAGCCUAACAAGCCGACCAUGCGUUUACAUUUUACAUUUUUGUCAUUUAGCAGAUGCUUUUAUCCAGAGCGACUUACAUGGUUCAAUCUAUACACAUGACUGAUUUGAGGGACGUAACAAGUACCUUGACAGUGCUGAACACUUGUCAGAGCAUGUGGAGACAUUUUUAUUUUCCCUUUCUUUCCCUUGGCACAGUUUAGUCCCAGUGUUAGCCCAGCCUCUCUGCACUUCUCUCACACUCACAAACACACACCUGUUUAUUUCACUGUCAGGGCUGUCUGAACAUUGUCUUAUUUUGGUGCUGACACAGCCUUUCUGUCUUUCUUUUUUCUUUCUGUCUUUCUUUCUGUCUUUCUUUCUGUCUCUCUUCCUGCUUUUCUUUCUGUCUUUCCGUCUUUCUUUCUUUCUUUCUUUCUUUCUUUCUUUCUUUCUUUCUUUCUUUCUUUCUUUCUUUCUUUCUUUCUUUCUUUCUUUCUUUCUUUCUUUCUGUCUUUCUUUCUGUCUUUCUUUCUGUCUCUCUUCCUGAUUUUCUUUCUGUCUUUCCGUCUUUCUUUCUUUCUUUCUUUCUUUCUUUCUUUCUGUCUUUCUUUCUUUCUUUCUUUCUUUCUUUCUUUCUUUCUUUCUUUCUUUCUUUCUUUCUUUCUUUCUUUCUUUCUUUCUUUCUUUCUUUCUUUCUGUCUUUCUUUCUUUUUUCUGUCUUUCUUUCUGUCUCUCUUCCUGCUUUUCUUUCUGUCUUUCCGUCUUUCUUUCUUUCUUUCUUUCUUUCUUUCUUUCUUUCUUUCUUUCUUUCUUUCUGUCUUUCUUUCUUUUUUCUGUCUUUCUGUCUUUCUUUCUGUCUUUCUUGUCAGUAAACAACCAUCAUAGCUGUUUUUCUGUCACUAGAUGAAUAAUAUACAGUAGUCAGACAUUGAACCAUUGGCUUUAGACACAAAAUUUGAUUAACCAAUUUGACUUGUCACUCAACUUCUGUUUGUUGACCUUAGCUAGACUAUAGGGAUAGGGAUACAUCUAUGUUUUAAAAGCCUACUUUGCCAAAUUCAAGCCAUUUCCUAAUUUAGGGGUAUUUAUCUCUUGGCGUCAGCCAGGGACACUUAGGUAUUGUGGAGCUGAGUUUGUCAAAAUACAUUCCCCCGUGUACUGCCAGUGGAGAGUGACAAGCGUAUUUAAUACACCCUGAUUCGUCUACUGGGUGAACACUUAAAACCAAGGACUCCAGCAGCAUUGGACAACGGUCCAGAACAUGUUGGAGAUGCACUUCUACCGUCUCUGGACCAGCACUAGGCUCAGGUUAGAUAUCUUCUGGACCAGCACUAGAUUCAGGUUAGAUAUCUCCCAGACCAGCACUAGGCUCAGGUUAGAUAUCUCCCAGACCAGCACUAGGCUCAGGUUAGAUAUCUCCCAGACCAGCACUAGGCUCAGGUUAGAUAUCUCCCAGACUAGCACUAGGCUCAGGUUGGAUAUCUCCUGGACCAGCACUAGAUUCAGGUUAUAUAUCUCCCAGACCAGCACUAGGCUCAGGUUAGAUAUCUCCCAGACUAGCACUAGGCUCAGGUUAGAUAUCUCCUAGACCAGCACUAGGCUCAUGUUAGAUAUCUCAUAGGCCAGCACUAGAUUCAGGUUAAAUAUCUCAUAGACCAGCACUACGCUCAGGUUGGAUAUCUCAUAGACCAGCACUAGGCUCAGGUUAGAUAUCUCCUAGACCAGCACUAGGCUCAUGUUAGAUAUCUCAUAGGCCAGCACUAGAUUCAGGUUAAAUAUCUCAUAGACCAGCACUACGCUCAGGUUGGAUAUCUCCUGGACCAGCACUAGACUCAGGUUAGAUAUCUCAUGUACUAGCACUAGGCUCAGGUUUUAUAUCUCCUGGACCAGCUCUAGGCUCAGGUUGGAUAUCUCAUGUACUAGCACUAGGCUCAGGUUAGAUAUCUCAUAGACCAGCACUAGGCUCAGGUUAGAUAUCUCAUGUACUAGCACUAAGCUCAGGUUAGAUAUCUCCUAUACCAGCACUAGGCUCAGGUUAGAUAUCUCCUAGACUAGCACUAAGCUCAGGUUAGAUAUCUCCUAGACUAGCACUAGGCUCAGGUUAGAUAUCUCCUAGACUAGCACUAAGCUCAGGUUAGAUAUAUCCUGUACUAGCACUAGGCUCAGGUUAGAUAUCUCCUAGACCAGCACUAGGCUCAGGUUGGAUAUCUCCUGGACCAGCACUAGGCUCAGGUUAGAUAUCUCCUGGACCAGCACUAGGCUCAGGUUAGAGGACACCAGAGCAUAGCAUGUGAUAUAGACCUCAUAUAAAUACUUUUUCUGUCCACCUACUGGGAGGUCAUGGCGUUACAGAAGAAGGAAUGAGUGACACCUAUUGCAGAGCUUGGCUUUUCUACAUAUUUGCAUACUAGACUUCUACUGCAGAGCUUGGAUGGUCUACAUAUUUGCAUACUAGACUUCUACUGUCACAGUACAGUAUGACCAUACUGGAGACACAUAUUUCCUUCAGAUUACACAGACACACAAACAAUUCAGAACUUGUUGGCACACAUAUAAGCCUUUCUGCAAGCAGACUCAUUCACAGACCCACACACACAGUCAUUCAUGUAUAAAUCGCUCUCUCUCACUCCUUCUUUCUCUCUAUCUCUCUUUGUAUGUCUGUUUGUUUGUCUCUAUCUCACUAUCUUCUCUCUCUCUCUCUUUCUAUAUCUCACUAUCUCUCUCUCUCUCUCUCUCUCACUAUCUCUCUCUCUCUCUAUCUCUCUCUCUCACUUUCUUUCUCUUGGCCUGUCUCUCCUCUCUCCUCCCUCUCUCAGGCUCUACGUCUGGUUAUCCACCCUCCCCUCUCUGCCUCUGGUUAUCCACCCUCCCCUCUCUACGUCUGGUUAUCCACCCUCUCCUCUCUACAUCUGGUUAUCCACCCUCUCCUCUCUACGUCUGGUUAUCCACCCUCCUCUCUACGUCUGGUUAUCCACCCUCUCCUCUCUACAUCUGGUUAUCCACCCUCUCCUCUCUCUGUCUGGUUAUCCACCCUCUCCUCUCUACGUCUGGUUAUCCACCCUCUCCUCUCUACGUCUGGUUAUCCACCCUCUCCUCUCUACAUCUGGUUAUCCACCCUCCUCUCUAUGUCUGGUUAUCCACCCUCUCCUCUCUACAUCUGGUUAUCCACCCUCUCCUCUCUACGUCUGGUUAUCCACCCUCUCCUCUCUGUCUGGUUAUCCACCCUCUCCUCUCUACGUCUGGUUAUCCACCCUCUCCUCUCUACAUCUGGUUAUCCACCCUCCUCUCUAUGUCUGGUUAUCCACCCUCUCCUCUCUACAUCUGGUUAUCCACCCUCUCCUCUCUACGUCUGGUUAUCCACCCUCCUCUCUACGUCUGGUUAUCCACCCUCUCCUCUCUCUCUCUCUGUCUCAUUAUCCACCCUUCCCUCUCUCUCUCUCUCUCUCUCUCUCUCUCUCUCUCUCUCUCUCUCUCUGUCUGGGUAUGCACCCCCCCCUCUCUCUCUCUGGUUAUGCACCCCUCCCUCUCUCUCUCUGGUUAUCCACCCUCCCCCUCUCUCUCUCGCUGUCUUGUUAUCCACACUCCUCUCUCUCUCUCUGUCUGGUUAUGCACCCUCCCCUCUCUCGCUCUCUCUCUGUCUGGUUAUGCACCCUUCCCCCCUCUCUCUCUCUCUGUCUGGUUAUGCACCCUCCCCCCUCUCUCUCUGUCUGGUUAUGCACCCUCUCUCUCGCUCUCUCUCUCUCUGGUUAUGCACCUCUCCCUCUCUCUCUCUGGUUAUCCACCCUCCCCCCUCUCUCUCUCGCUGUCUUGUUAUCCACACUCCUCUCUCUCUCUCUCUCUCUCUCUCUGUCUGGUUAUGCACCCUCCCCACUCUCGCUCUCUCUCUGUCUGGUUAUGCAGCCUUCCCCCCCUCUCUCUCUCUGUCUGGUUAUGCACCCUCC